rnacentral:miRNA from 1 species
ACAAAGAAACCAUGAAACUCAGGAUGGAUAGCGUUAUAGAUCUACCUUCACGAUCACAACCCUUGUCCACCAGCACCAGCACCACCACCAAAGACGGUGGCUGGCCGAGAGUUAUAUAUGAUCGUUUAUCAAUGGCGCUAUCCCUCCUGAGCUUUACAGAUUCUCCAU